rnacentral:lncRNA from 1 species
AAUCAUGACAUUUUUAAUUCUAUUACAGUCUGAAGUUGAAGGUGAACUUUUGUCCAUAGAUCAGUGGAUGAACAGCAUACACCUGUAUGUGAAAAAGCAGUAUGAAUAUGGUGUUCAAUUAUGAUACUGGCUAUGAUAUUCACAAUAGCCUUCAAGUCCUUGCAGACCACCUUUUUACAUAUUUCCAUCUGGACUGGAUUUCCAUCACUCUGGUUCAAGCCACGAAGCCCGGCAUUAGUACCCAUUUCUGCGAACUGAAAGAAACUUAAAGAGGAUUUUUGUUUUUCCAAAAAAAAAAAAAAAUUGAAAAGAAAACUUCAUGUCC